UACGGAGGGGGCUAGCGUUGUUCGGAAUUACUGGGCGUAAAGCGCACGUAGGCGGCUUUGCAAGUCAGAGGUGAAAGCCCGGGGCUCAACCCCGGAAUUGCCUUUGAGACUGCAUCGCUAGAAUUGUGGAGAGGUAAGUGGAAUUCCGAGUGUAGAGGUGAAAUUCGUAGAUAUUAGGAGGAACACCGAUGGCGAAGGCAGUGGGCUGGGCCGGCACUGACGCUGAGGAGCGAAAGCGUGGGGAGCGAACAGG
rnacentral:rRNA from 1 species